AAUGAAUUUUUAAAUGGCCGCGGUACCCUGACCGUGCUAAGGUAGCAUAAUAAUUUGCCUUCUAAUUAAAGGCUAGAAUGAAUGGACACACGUGAGCUAAUCUGUUUCUUAAGAAUUUAUAAAACUUUAUCUUUAGGUGAAAAAGCCUAAAUAAAAUUAAAAGACAAAAAGACCCUGCAGAGCUUUAUAAUAGUUUAUUAACUAAAUAAAUAAUUAUUUUGUUGGGGCGACAGGGGAUUAUUUAAAACAUCCCUAAAUAAUCAAGAAUCAACAAAUCUUAUUAAUGACCCUCUAAGAGAUCAAAGACACAAGCUACCUCAGGGAUAACAGGCUUAUCUUUCUCAAGAGACCAUAUCAACAGAAAGCUUUGGCACCUCGAUGUUGGCUUAGAAUUCCCGAUGAAGCAACAAUCAUCUAAGGUAGGUUUGUUCAACCUUUAAAAUUCUACGUGAU
rnacentral:rRNA from 1 species